rnacentral:sRNA from 1 species
GCCGGGCGUUGUGGCGGGCGCCUGUGGUCCCAGCUACUUGGGAGGCGGAGGCAGGAGACUCGCUUGAGCCCAGGAGUUGGAGGUUGCUGUGAGCUGUAAUGCCAUGGCACUCUGCCCAGGGGGACAGCUUGAGGCUCUGUCUCAAAAAAAUAAAAUAAAAUAAAAUAAAAUAAAGUAAGUAAAGAAAAUGCUCUUUUUUUUUUUUUAAUUGAGACAGAGUCUCACUAUGUUGCCCUGGGUAGAGUGCGGUGGGGUCACAGCUCACAGCAACCUC